CUGAAGGAGGAGUGAACUGAUGAGAGUCUCUCUGUGUUCUCAGAUCUGCUACUUACCAAGAGAAUGUUGGACAAAGACCUUGACAAGUUGUCAAGUCAACCUUCUGGGAGGAUGUGCAGCCAUUAUGCUGCAGGCACUUUAAUCUGGCCAGGCUGAUCACAGAUGACCGGGGACUCAGAUGGGCAUGGUAAAGGAUUGCAGUAGACUCUUUCAUCGUCUGCGUCACAUGUGCAAAGAUCACAGCCACUGAUCCAAGUUGAAUUACCCUGAUUUAACAAUAAAGAACAUGUCAGAGCACAAGCGCAAGUAACAGAAAAUGUAUAAUGAACUAAUUCAAUGUUGUUCAGACAUUUAAAGUCAGGUAGGGUUGUGUGUCUCA